AUAAAAACGAUCCAGAUGUUUGGAAUAUAAUAGAAAAUGCUCUCGGUCAGGAAGAGAAUGACGUUGAUAAACUGAAAAACAGAAACAUUCGUUAUAUUCGAAGCAAAAAACCAUAAGAAAACCCAUGAACAUCGUCGCCCGUCCAUUCUGGCUCCCGGACAUCCUCAUCACACUGUUCUCUCUUCCUCGAACUCAAAAGUGUGCCACGGACGACAAAACACAAAUUCAAAAGGGGCCUUCGAUCUUAACGAGAGAAAACGACAGUUGGGAACAAAAAACAAUUGAAAUUCAGCAGGCGAAUAGAUCUCACGAAAUAAGCAAGAGUAGCGACGUGUUUAUGCUCAUUAACCUCGACUUCAUAGGCGCUUAUGAGACUUGAGCGAAAAUAUCAAAGUCGCAUCGUGUGGUCAAGGUCGAGCGUGUUUCAAAUUAUGAUUGAUAAUUACAGGGACAUUUGGAACUUUCAUUAUUUUUUUUCAUUUUUUUCAUUCUCGUAUCGUACUCCAAUGGAGAAAUCAAUCAUUUUCGUUACGAUAACAAAUUGAUUAUUGUAUCGAGAAUAAUUAAUUUUUUGCUCCAUUCUCGAAUCGCAUCAUUAUAGUACGCAAAUCGUACAAUUCAUUAAACGAAAGUAUUUUCAGAGUCUAACGACAGUAGGUGUGAUUGGGGAGGAAAAUUUUCAUCUCCGCUCAAAUAAUCAUCAAAUCCUGAUAAGCUUAAUUCUCUGCGACCCAGCGAGCUUCAUUUUUUUUAUCAAACGUGUUUGUUAAGAUCAAAGUGUAGAUUGACUGAUUAGCCAUCGAAUUAUUGACACAACAGGUGACAGAAUGUAUUUUGUUUUCUCGAAUUCACAAUCGGGAUCGAGGCUGUUGAACUCGCAGUGUACCUGACCUACAUAACGUAACACAAUUAUAUAUCUCAGGCGGUCAAUAUUGAUUUCCAGUUGAGAAAAUGUGGAAUUUCGAGUGAAAAGUUACUGAUUAUUCGAUUUAUUAAAUCGAUCGUAGAUUCGAUCGAAUCAUUUCUGAUCGUAAUAAAUACGAGAUUGUAAAAGCUUAAAAAAAGUGCUCGUCUCGUCCCCUGCGUGCGAUCGAAAAGUAUUCGAAAAGGAGCAUUCCAUUUUACGAAAUAUUUCCUCACGACAAAUCGAUUUUGUACGACACUUUAUUAACGUUUUAAUCGAAGUUAAAACAAAGAUUUUUUUAUCUGGUCCCUCGAUCAAUGAUAUUCAUCACUGUUGCUUGUACGAAGGAACGAGUAAAUCGUCUUUUAAGUGUUUGUAUUAAUGGAAUAAUACGAAAAAAAGUUGUCUGCUAA